AAAUUGAAGAGUUUGAUCAUGGCUCAGAUUGAACGCUGGCGGCAGGCCUAACACAUGCAAGUCGAACGGUAACAGGAAGCAGCUUGCUGCUUUGCUGACGAGUGGCGGACGGGUGAGUAAUGUCUGGGAAACUGCCUGAUGGAGGGGGAUAACUACUGGAAACGGUGGCUAAUACCGCAUAACGUCGCAAGACCAAAGAGGGGGACCUUCGGGCCUCUUGCCAUCAGAUGUGCCCAGAUGGGAUUAGCUAGUUGGUGAGGUAACGGCUCACCAAGGCGACGAUCCCUAGCUGGUCUGAGAGGAUGACCAGCCACACUGGAACUGAGACACGGUCCAGACUCCUACGGGAGGCAGCAGUGGGGAAUAUUGCACAAUGGGCGCAAGCCUGAUGCAGCCAUGCCGCGUGUAUGAAGAAGGCCUUCGGGUUGUAAAGUACUUUCAGCGGGGAGGAAGGUGUUGUGGUUAAUAACCACAGCAAUUGACGUUACCCGCAGAAGAAGCACCGGCUAACUCCGUGCCAGCAGCCGCGGUAAUACGGAGGGUGCAAGCGUUAAUCGGAAUUACUGGGCGUAAAGCGCACGCAGGCGGUCUGUCAAGUCGGAUGUGAAAUCCCCGGGCUCAACCUGGGAACUGCAUUCGAAACUGGCAGGCUUGAGUCUUGUAGAGGGGGGUAGAAUUCCAGGUGUAGCGGUGAAAUGCGUAGAGAUCUGGAGGAAUACCGGUGGCGAAGGCGGCCCCCUGGACAAAGACUGACGCUCAGGUGCGAAAGCGUGGGGAGCAAACAGGAUUAGAUACCCUGGUAGUCCACGCCGUAAACGAUGUCUACUUGGAGGUUGUGCCCUUGAGGCGUGGCUUCCGGAGCUAACGCGUUAAGUAGACCGCCUGGGGAGUACGGCCGCAAGGUUAAAACUCAAAUGAAUUGACGGGGGCCCGCACAAGCGGUGGAGCAUGUGGUUUAAUUCGAUGCAACGCGAAGAACCUUACCUGGUCUUGACAUCCACGGAAGUUUUCAGAGAUGAGAAUGUGCCUUCGGGAACCGUGAGACAGGUGCUGCAUGGCUGUCGUCAGCUCGUGUUGUGAAAUGUUGGGUUAAGUCCCGCAACGAGCGCAACCCUUAUCCUUUGUUGCCAGCGGUCCGGCCGGGAACUCAAAGGAGACUGCCAGUGAUAAACUGGAGGAAGGUGGGGAUGACGUCAAGUCAUCAUGGCCCUUACGACCAGGGCUACACACGUGCUACAAUGGCGCAUACAAAGAGAAGCGACCUCGCGAGAGCAAGCGGACCUCAUAAAGUGCGUCGUAGUCCGGAUUGGAGUCUGCAACUCGACUCCAUGAAGUCGGAAUCGCUAGUAAUCGUGGAUCAGAAUGCCACGGUGAAUACGUUCCCGGGCCUUGUACACACCGCCCGUCACACCAUGGGAGUGGGUUGCAAAAGAAGUAGGUAGCUUAACCUUCGGGAGGGCGCUUACCACUUUGUGAUUCAUGACUGGGGUGAAGUCGUAACAAGGUAACCGUAGGGGAACCUGCGGUUGGA
rnacentral:rRNA from 1 species